UACGUAGGGGGCUAGCGUUGUCCGGAAUCAUUGGGCGUAAAGAGCGCGUAGGCGGCCCGGUAAGUCUGCUGUAAAAGUCAAAGGCUUAACCUUUGAAAGUCAGUGGAUACUGCCGGGCUAGAGUCCGGAAGAGGCGAGUGGAACUCCUGGUGUAGCGGUGAAAUGCGCAGAUAUCAGGAGGAACACCCGUGGCGAAAGCGGCUCUCUGGGACGGUACUGACGCUGAGACGCGAAAGCGUGGGGAGCAAACAGG
rnacentral:rRNA from 1 species